rnacentral:rRNA from 1 species
GACGAACGCUGGCGGCGUGCUUAACACAUGCAAGUCGAACGAAGUGGCGAACGGGUGAGUAACGCGUAAUCAACCUGCCCUUCAGAGGGGGCCAACAGUUGGAAACGACUGCUAAUACCGCAUACUGAAGGAGGGGAUGGCGUCUGCUUAUCUGGUUGGAGGGGUAACGGCCCACCAAGGCCAUGAUCAGUAGCCGGUCUGAGUGGAUGGACGGACACAGUGGGACUGAGACACGGCCCAUACUCCUACGGGAGGCAGCAGUGGUGAAUCUUCCGCAAUGGGCGAAAGUCUGACGGAGCAACGCCGCGUGAGUGAUGACGGCCUUCGGGUGGUAAAGCUCUAUUGAUCGGGACGCGGUACCGGAAUAGAAAGCCACGGCUAACUACGUGCCAGCAGCCGCGGUAAUAC